AUUGAACGCUGGCGGCAUGCCUUACACAUGCAAGUCGAACGGUAACGCGGGGCAACCUGGCGACGAGUGGCGAACGGGUGAGUAAUGCAUCGGAACGUGCCCGGUAGUGGGGGAUAACUGCUCGAAAGAGCAGCUAAUACCGCAUACGACCUGAGGGUGAAAGGGGGGGAUCGAAAGACCUCUCGCUAUCGGAGCGGCCGAUGUCGGAUUAGCUAGUUGGUGGGGUAAAGGCCCACCAAGGCAACGAUCCGUAGCUGGUCUGAGAGGACGACCAGCCACACUGGGACUGAGACACGGCCCAGACUCCUACGGGAGGCAGCAGUGGGGAAUUUUGGACAAUGGACGCAAGUCUGAUCCAGCCAUGCCGCGUGCGGGAAGAAGGCCUUCG
rnacentral:rRNA from 1 species